rnacentral:rRNA from 1 species
UGGUGGAGUGAUUUGUCUGGUUAAUUCCGAUAACGAACGAGACCUUAACCUGCUAACUAGUUACACUAUACUCUGUAUGGUGGCCAACUUCUUAGAGGGACUAUCGAUGUUUAAUCGAUGGAAGUUUGAGGCAAUAACA